rnacentral:rRNA from 1 species
UUUUCCGCAAUGGGCGAACGCCUGACGGAGCAAUGCCGCGUGGAGGUGGAAGGCCUACGGGUCGUCAACUGCUUUUCCCGCAGAAGAAANAAUGACGGUAUCUGAGGAAUAAGCAUCGGCUAACCCUGUGCCAGCAGCCGCGGUAAGACAGAGGAUGCAAGCGUUAUCCGGAAUGAUUGGGCGUAAAGCGUCUGUAGGUGGCUUUUUAAGUUCGCCGUCAAAUCCCAGGGCUCAACCCUGGACAGGCGGUGGAAACUACCAAGCUGGAGUACGGUAGGGGCAGAGGGAAUUUCCGGUGGAGCGGUGAAAUGCGUAGAGAUCGGGAAGAACACCAACGGCGAAAGCACUCUGCUGGGCCGACACUGACACUGAGAGACGAAAGCUAGGGGAGCGAAUGG